rnacentral:lncRNA from 1 species
UUCCAUAUCGCUCUGAUGAACCUCUUUCCGCCUGUUCUCUAGAGUUCAAGAACAGAUUCUUGCCUAUCCCUUAUUUGUCCAUUAAGUCCGUUUUCCGCUAAAGGCAGCAUGAAAAGCACCUAAAUUGUAAUACGUAAGAGGAAGGACGACUAAGCAACUAUGCUACUAUUGGCACCCCAAACUAAAAACUACAACUGGAAAUCCAACUUUAGGUGGAGGAAGGACGACUAAGCAACUAUGCUACUAUUGGCACCCCAAACUAAAAAUUACAACUGCAAAUCCAACUUUAGGUGGUCAUUAUGAUCAGAAACUCACCCUCUGGAGAGUUUUAUUGACCUCGCAUAUAACAUGGGGAAUCUGGUUAGCACCCAUAUUUAAGA